CAUAAUUUUGAUCCUUGUUUCUCAUGUUGGCAACAGCCCUUAUAUCAGUAUAUUUGCUUUCUUUCUUUCUUAUGGGUGUGAGUGGCUAUCUGGCGAACUUUGGGUGAGUGACUCGUGAGCUUCUGAUUUUUAACUUUUUUGUGAUGUUCAAUCCUCUACUUGAAAAAGGUGAAUUGGAGCCUCCUUUUAUAUGCUUAAAUCAAGGGUGGCUUGGCUUUGGUUGGGUGACUCAUGGCCUACAUUCACCGAAUGUUGUUGGUUUGUGAAUAAAGUUUUGCGUAAUUUUGAUCCUUGUUUCUCAUGUUGGCAACAGCCCUUACACGAAUAUAUGUGCUUUCUUUCUUGUGUGUCUGAGUGGCUGUCUGGCGAACUUUGGGUGGGUGACUCUGUGACCUUCUGAUUUUGAGCAGUUUUGUGAUGUUCAGUCUUCUGCUUGAAAAAGGCAAAUCUCAGCCUCUUUUUGUUUGCUUAAAUCCAGGUCGGUUUUAGUUUUACAUUCGGUGAAUGGUAUGUGAACAAAGUUUGGGGUAAUUUUUAUCCUCCUUGUUCUUGGUAUGUGAACAAAGUUUGACAUAAUUUUGAUCCUUGUUUCUCAUGUUGGCAACAGCCCUUAUACCAAUAUAUCUGCUUUCUUCCUUGUGUGUGUGGCUGUCUGUCGAACUUUGGGUAGGUAACUCGUGAACUUCUGAUUUUGUACUUUGUUGUGAUGUUCAAUCUUCUGUUUGAAAAAGGCGAAUCAGAGCCUCGUUUUAUAUGCUUAAAUAAAGGUUGUCUUUAGUUUUACAUUCGGUGAAUGUUGUUUGUAUCUGAACAAUGUUUGGCAUAAUUUUGAUCCUUGUUUCUCAUGUUGGCAACAACCCUUAUACCAAUAUAUCACCUUUAUUGUGUGUGUGAGUGGCUGUCUGGAGAAUUUUGGGUGGGUGACUUGUGAGCUCCUAAUUUUGAGCUCUUUUGUGAUGUUCAAUCUUCUGCUUGGAAAAGGCGAAUUUGAGCCUCCUUUUAUAUGCUUAAAUGAUGGUCGGUUUUAGUUUUACAUUCGUUGAAUGUUGUUGGUAUGAGAACAAAGUUGGGCACAAUUUUGAUUUUUGUUUCACAUGAUGGCAACAGCCCGUAUACCAAUAUAUCUGCUUUCUUUCUUGUGUGUGUGAGUGAGUCUCCGGCGAACUUUGGGGGGUGACUCGUGAGCUCUUUUGUGAUAUUCAAUCUUCUGCUUGAAAGAUGCGAAUUUGAGUCUCCUUUUAUAUGCUUAAACAAAAGUCAGCUUUAGUUUUACAUUCGGUGAAUGUUGUUGGUAUGAGAACAAAGUUGGGCACAAUUUUGAUUUUUGUUUCACAUGAUGGCAACAGCCCGUAUACCAGUAUAUCUGCUUUCUUUCUUGUGUGUGUGAGUGAGUCUCCGGCGAACUUUGGGGGGUGACUCGUGAGCUCUUUUGUGAUAUUCAAUCUUCUGCUUGAAAGAUGCGAAUUUGAGUCUCCAGCGAACUUUGGUGGGGGACUCGGGAGCUUCUGAUUUUGAGCUCUUGUGUGAUGUUCAAUCUUCUGCUUGAAAAAUGCGAAUUUGAGUCUCCUUUUAUAUGCUUAAACAAAAGUCAGCUUUAGUUUUACAUUGGAUGCUUUUUUUAUUUUUUUGGUAUGUGAACAAAGUUUGGCAUUAUUUUGAUCCUUUUUUUUCAUUUUGCCAACUGCCCUCAUACGAAUAUAUCUGCUUUCUUUCUUGUGUGUGGUUGUCUGGCGAACUUUGGGGGGGGGACUCGUGAGUUUGUUUUUGAGUUCUUUUGUGAUGGUGGGUGACUCGUGAGUUUGUUUUUGAGUUCUUUUGUGAUGUUCAAUCUUCUGAUUGAAAAAGGCUAGUCUGAGCCUCCUUUUCUAUGCUUAAAAUCAAGGUCGGCUUUUUAGUUUACUUUGGUGAGGUGACUCUGUGAGCUUCUGAUUUUGAGUGUUUUUUGUGAUGUUCAAUCUUCUGCUUGAAAAUUGCGAAUUUGAGUCUCCUUUUAUUUGCUUAGAUCAAGGUCGGCUUAGUUUUACAUUCGGUGAAUGUUGUUGGUAUGUGAACAAAGUUUGGUAUAAUUUUGAUACUUGUUUCUCAUGUUGGCAACAGCCCUAACACCAAUAUAUUUUCUUUCUUUCUUGUGUGUGUGAGUGGCUGUCUGGCAAACUUUGGGUGGGUGACUCGUGAGCUUCUUAUUUGAGCUCUUUUGUGAUGUUCAUUCUUCUACUUGAAAAUGCGAAUUUGAGCCUCCUUUUGUAUGCUUAAGUCGAUGUCGGCUUUAGUUUUACAUUCAAUGAAUGUUGUUGGUACGUGAACAAAGUUUGGCAUAAUAUGGAUCCUUGUUUCUCAUGUUGGCAACAGCCCUAACACCAAUAUAUUUUCUUUCUUUCUUGUGUGUGUGAGUGGCUGUCUGGCAAACUUUGGGUGGGUGACUCGUGAGCUUCUUAUUUGAGCUCUUUUGUGAUGUUCAUUCUUCUACUUGAAAAUGCGAAUUUGAGCCUCCUUUUGUAUGCUUAAGUCGAUGUCGGCUUUAGUUUUACAUUCAAUGAAUGUUGUUGGUACGUGAACAAAGUUUGGCAUAAUAUGGAUCCUUGUUUCUCAUGUUGGCAACAGCCCUUAUACCAAUAUAUUUGCUUCUUUCUUGUGGGUGUGAGUGGCUGUUUGGCGAACUUUGUGUGGGUGACUCGUGAGCUUCUAAUUUUUAGCUCUUUUGUGAUGUUCAAUCUUCUGCUUGAAACAGGCGAAUCGGAGCUUCCUUUUAUAUGCUUGAAUCAAGGCCGGCUUGAGUUUACUUUUGUUGGGUGACUCGUGAGCUUCUGAAUUUGAGCUCUUUUGUGAUGUUCAAUCUUCUACUUGAAAAAGGCGAAUUUGAGUCUCCUUUUAUUAACUCAAGGUUUGCUUUAGUUUUACAUUCACCGAAUGUUGUUGGUUUGUGAAUAAAGUUUUGCGUAAUUUUGAUCCUUAUGUGAACAAAAGUUUCGCAUAAUUUUGAUCCUUGUUUCUCACGUUGCCAACAGCUCUUAUACCAAUAUAUUUGCUUUCUUAUUUGUGUGCGAGUGGCUGUCUGGGGAGCUUUGGGUGGGUGACUGGUGAGCUUUUAAUUUUGAGCUCUUUUCUGAUGUUCAAUUUUAUGCUUGAAAAAGGCGAAUCUGAGUCUCCUUUUAUAUGCUUUUAGAUCAAGAUUGGCUUUGGUUUACCUUGUUUAGGUGACUCGUGAGCUUCUGAUUUUGAGCUCUUUUGUGAUGUUCAAUCUUCUGCUUGAAUAAGGCGAAUCUUAGCCUCCUUUUAUAUGCAAAACAAGGUCUGCCUUAGUUUUACAUUCGGUGAAUGUUGUUCGUAUGUGAAUAAGGUUUGGCAUUAUUUUGAUCCUUAUUUCUCAUGUUGCCAAUAGCCCUUAUAUGAAUGUAUCUGCUUUCUUUCUUGUGUGUGUGAGUGGCUGUGUGGCGAACAUUGGGUGGGUGACUCGUGAGCUUCUGAUUUUGAGCUGUUUUGUGAUGUUCAAUCUUCUGCUUGAAAAAGGCGAAUCUCAGCCUCUUUUUGUUUGCUUUAGUUUUACAUUCGGUGAAUAUUGUUGGUAUGUGAACAAAGUUUGGCGUAAUUUUGAUCUUUCUUGUUGUUGAUAUGUGAACAAAGUUUGGCAUAAUUUUGAUCCUUGUUUCUCAUGUUGCCAACAGCCCUUAUACCAAUAUAUCUGCUUUCUUUUGGGUGUGUGAGUGGCUGUCUGGCGAACUUUGGGUGGGUGACUCGUGAGCUUUUGAUUGUGAGCUAUUUUGUGAUGUUCAAUUUUAUGCUUGAAAAAGGCGAAUUUGAGUCUCCUUUUAUAUACUUUUAAAUCAAGGUCGGCUCUCGUUUACCUUGGUUAGGUGAAUCGUGAGCUCCUGAUUUUGUGCUCUUUUGUGAUGUUCAAUCUUCUGCUUGAAAGAGGCUAAUCUUAGCCUCCUUUUAUAUGCAAAACAAGGUCAGCUUUAGUUUUACAUUCGGUGAAUUUUGUUCGAAUGUGAAAUAAGUUUUGCAUUAUUUUAAUCCUUGUUUCUCAUGUUGCCAACAGCCCUUAUAGGAAUAUAUAUGCUUUCUUUUUUGUGUGUGAGUGGCUGUGUGGUGAACUUUGGGUGGGUGACUCGAGAGCUUCUGAUUUGAGCUGUUUUGUGACUCGAGAGCCUGUUUUUGUUUGCUUAAAUCAAGGUCGGCUUUAGUUUUAUAUUCGGUGAAUGUUUUUAGUAUGUGAACAAAGUUUGGCGUAAUUUUGAUCCUUCUUGUUGUUGGUAUGUGAGCAAAGUUUGGCAUAAUUAUGAUCCUUAUUUCUCAUGUUGGCAACUGCCCUUGUACCAAUUUAUCUGCUUUCUUUCUUGUGUGUGGCUGUUUGGUGAACUUUGUGUAGGUGACUCGUGAGCUUCUGAUUUUGAGCUCUGUUGUGAUGUUUCAAUCUACUGCUUAAAAAAGGUGAAUCUGAUCCUCCUCUUUAUGCUUAAAUCAAGGUCGGCUUUAGUUUUAGAUUCGGUGAAUGUUGUUGGUAUGCAAACAAAGUUUAGCAUAAUUUUGAUCAUUGUUUCUCAUGUUGGCCACAGCCCUUGUACCAAUACCUAUCUGCUAUUUUUCUUGUGUGUGAGUGGCUGUUUUGCGAACUUUUGGUGGGUGACUCGUGAGCUUCUGAUUUUGAGCUCUUUUGUGAUCCAUUUUUUGCUUAAAAAAGAUGAAUCUUAUCCUCCUUUUACAUGCUUGAAUCUAGGUUGGCUUUGGGAGGUGUAUGGCUUCGGGGUGAGAUUUUUUAUCAUUAGUUUGCCCUGUGAGGUGGAUGGUUUCGGGGUGAUAGACUAGAUUUGAUCACAGUAGAGAAUGUUCAAAAUGAAAACAAAACAAAACUCACUAACAGCUGGUAUGCAUAUUUUAGAUAAAAAACGUAGAAAUAAUGCAACAACAACGUGGUCAAGUAUUUUGACUUAGCUGCAUUUAAGGCCACAUCGGUGAGCUCUGAUUUAUCAUCUUUAACGUUUCAUGUCACUUUAUUUUAAAGAUGGUACUUUUGGGUAAAUUGCAUGUGAGAUGUUCCAUUAUUUUAAAGAUGGAAGUGAAAUUUUUCUUUCGAGCGGUGAUACAUGAUUCGAAUGUAGGGGAGUUUUUUAAAAUUUUUGGUGGAACCCAGAUGACUCGCCAGCUAUUAGUAUGCGGGUAGGUUAUUUGGUAGUUAAUUUUGCUAACUUAGAUAUUUAUUUAUGUUAAUUACUGUAGCUAACUAUAAUUCCCUGGUAUAAUU
rnacentral:lncRNA from 1 species